rnacentral:lncRNA from 1 species
CUGCGGGUGCCCUGCCCAGCGCUGCCCUGCGCCCUGCACAAGGGCUCUGGGGCCGGGAUUCCCUCUGGCUGCCAGGCUUCUGUGCCGCCGCCCCUGGCCUUAACCCUUCUUGCACGGCUCCUGGCCGCAGUGAAUGACAGGAGGGUGGUGAAGUGACAGGACGUGACCUACAGCAGCAGCCACAGCACUGAGACAGAUCUCAGUGGACUGGCCUGUGUAGCAAGUUGCACCACUGGUUUGCCUAAGGAGCCAUUGUAACAUAUCUGCAGGCCUCAGCAACCGAGCUGACUGUGUAGCAGCAAAGCUUUGCAAAAAAAAGAUUCAUGGUUAUGAAGAGCUGGGAUGUGAAAUAAAACAUUUGCAUCUCAGGACAGGAUGUGAUGACUGCUGUCAGCCUCAACCGAGCUGACAUUUUGCUGUUUAUUUUUGUAGUGUUUAAUUUCUUCAUUUUCCCAUUAAAUGAUAAAUGCAGAAGAGUGCUGCUACACUUGGUGUAGUGUGCUGAAAUUUGUGCAAUGGGACGGACAGGAACCUCAGAGGAGGCAACUUGAGAUGGGGGAGUAAGGUGGAGCAAGCACUGGAGCCCAGAGAAAGUUCUGUCAUGCUUCUGACAGCACGUGGGAUUCACAUGACCUGUAUUGACAAACUAUUUGCCAUUAAGAAGAACAAAGAACAAAACCAAGGAACUUCUAUUCAGCAAGCAAAACAAAGCUGUAGCUGUGCAAUUGAAAACUAGGAAAACUAAAGUGUAGUCAAUGAGGCACACUGUAAGGAUGCAGAAAUCAUCAGGCAGGGAUGCACAGGAGACAGAAGCAAAAAAUAUUCUGUAUGUCUGUAUGGAUGGGGGGAAUUAGCUGUGCAUUGGACAGGAAGACUAUUGGACUGAGAUAAAAGAUACAGCGAGCCCAUCAGUGAGCACAAGUGGAAGUGUUAUUUCUAGUGAAGAAAAAGCAGAAAAAAACUUAAAGCAGCUGCUGUUAUAACUGUGAUUCAUUUCUGAUUACAUAUGGCAGAGAGGUGGGUGUGUAUGAAAGAUUAAAUUGGAGCAAAAAAUGAGAAUAUCUUUCUUUUUUUAAGUUACUUACGAAAUUCACUGUUGUGGAAAGUCUGACUAUCCAGUGCGUAUAGUCAUAU